UACGAAGGGGGCUAGCGUUGCUCGGAAUCACUGGGCGUAAAGCGCACGUAGGCGGAUUGCUAAGUCAGGGGUGAAAUCCUGGAGCUCAACUCCAGAACUGCCCUUGAUACUGGCGGUCUCGAGUCCGGGAGAGGUGAGUGGAACUGCGAGUGUAGAGGUGAAAUUCGUAGAUAUUCGCAAGAAUACCAGUGGCGAAGGCGGCUCACUGGCCCGGUACUGACGCUGAGGUGCGAAAGCGUGGGGAGCAAACAGG
rnacentral:rRNA from 1 species